rnacentral:tRNA from 1 species
UAGGAUUAUGUUUAAUUAUAAUAUUUAAUUUGCAAUUAAAAGGUGCUUUUGAGCUAAUCUUAA